GGGCACCCCAAAAAGUGCCCAAACUGCGUGUGAAUAGCCCGUUUCAUUGGCCUGGACGGACGGUUCGUGAAUC
rnacentral:ncRNA from 1 species